CAAAAGUUUGGUCCUGACUUUACUAACAACUCCAGCUAGAUUUACACAUGCAAGUAUCCGCACCCCUGUGAGAAUGCCCUACAGUCCCCUGCUUGGGAACAAGGAGCCGGUAUCAGGCACAAUUACUGAAGCCCAUGACACCUUGCUUAGCCACACCCUCAAGGGAAUUCAGCAGUGACAAACAUUAAGCCAUAAGUGAAAGCUUGACUUAGUUAAAGCUAAGAGGGUCGGUAAAACUCGUGCCAGCCACCGCGGUUAUACGAGAGACCCAAGUUGUUAGAUACCGGCGUAAAGAGUGGUUAAGAUAAAUUAAGACUAAAGCCGAACGCCCUCAGAACUGUUAUACGUUUCCGAAGGUGAGAAGUCCGAUCACGAAAGUGGCUUUACAUUAACUGAACCCACGAAAGCUAGGGUACAAACUGGGAUUAGGUACCCCACUAUGCCUAGCCCUAAACAUCGGUAGCAUUCUACAGCUGCUACCCGCCUGGGUACUACGAGCAUCAGCUUAAAACCCAAAGGACUUGGCGGUGCUUUAGAUCCACCUAGAGGAGCCUGUUCUAGAACCGAUGCCCCCCGUUCAACCUCACCCUUUCUUGUUUUCCCCGCCUAUAUACCACCGUCGUCAGCUUACCCUGUGAAGGCCUCAUAGUAAGCAAGAUUGGCACAGCCCAAAACGUCAGGUCGAGGUGUAGCGCAUGGAAGGGGAAGAAUGGGUACUUCCCUCCCCUCAGGGAAUUACGGACGAUGUACUGAAAUACAUAUUUGAAGGAGGAUUUAGCAGUAAGAAAAA
rnacentral:rRNA from 1 species